UACGAAGGGGGCUAGCGUUGCUCGGAAUCACUGGGCGUAAAGCGCACGUAGGCGGCUUUCUAAGUCAGGGGUGAAAUCCUGGAGCUCAACUCCAGAACUGCCUUUGAUACUGGAGAGCUAGAGUCCGGAAGAGGUGGGUGGAACUGCGAGUGUAGAGGUGAAAUUCGUAGAUAUUCGCAAGAACACCAGUGGCGAAGGCAGCUCGCUGGGACGGUACUGACGCUGAGACGCGAAAGCGUGGGGAGCAAACAGG
rnacentral:rRNA from 1 species